rnacentral:rRNA from 1 species
GAUGAACGCUGGCGGCGUGCCUAACACAUGCAAGUCGAACGGGACUUUAUUGAAACCUAGUGAUGUAAAGUUUAGUGGCGGACGGGUGAGUAACGCGUGGAUAACCUGCCGUAUACAGGGGGAUAACACUUAGAAAUAGGUGCUAAUACCGCAUAAGCGCACAGCUUCGCAUGAAGCAGUGUGAAAAACUCCGGUGGUAUACGAUGGAUCCGCGUCUGAUUAGCCAGUUGGCGGGGUAAAGGCCCACCAAAGCGACGAUCAGUAGCCGGCCUGAGAGGGUGGACGGCCACAUUGGGACUGAGACACGGCCCAG